AAAAUCGUACCUUAAACCGACGCUGGUGAAUUAGAGCAAGUGCUCUCAGGUUAAGAAGUUAACUAUACUUAAGGAACUCGGCAAAAUACUUUCGUGAUUAUUGAUAAGAAAGGUCUAUAAUAUACAUAUUGUCCGCUAACCCCCCUUUGGGGGGUUCUAUCUUCGGUUUUUGGAACGUAUGUAUAUGAGGUUAAUAAUAAACUGCUGACAACGACUGUUUAACAAAAACACAAGACACUGAUAACCUUAUUAGGGCUUUAUAGUGUCUGAUACCUGCCCAAAGGCGAAAGCAAACGGCGGCCGUAACUCUAACGGUCCUAAGGUAGCGUAGUUCCUUGGCAUUUAAUUGGUGCCGUGCAUGAAUGGUGUAACGACUGUCAGGCUGUCUCAAGUAUAGAUUUUGUGAAAUUGAAUUGUUUGUGCAGAUGCGAACAAUAGUUUGUGGGACGAUAAGACCCCAUGCACCUUUACACGGUGAUGUUUAAAGCUUAACAAGUUUAUCGGCUCUGCCUUUUAGCCCAAGCCGGAACCAAGGGCCCUUUGACUCGUAUUCCGAUUCCGGC
rnacentral:rRNA from 1 species